rfam:Gossypium arboreum cultivar AKA8401 contig_351_5, whole genome shotgun sequence.
UAUUAAAAUUUUCAUUCAUUUCUAUUGUUAAAAACUGGCAUGGCUGACAAAAUAACCAAAUAGUGUCACCUAGUAUGUGUAUCUCAAGCUAAAAUACAAGGACCAAUUUUUAACAGUAAAAAUGAAUAAAUUUUUUAAGA